UGAGCCCUACGGGAGGCAGCAGUGAGGAAUAUUGGUCAAUGGGCGGAAGCCUGGACGAGCAAUGCCGCGUGAACGAGGAAGGUCUUCGGAUCGUAAAGUUCUGUUGAAGGGGAAAAAGAGCGGAGAGAGGAAAUGGUCUCCGAUUGAUAUUACCCUUCGAGGAAGUCACGGCUAACUACGUGCCAGCAGCCGCGGUAAUACGUAGGUGGCGAGCGUUAUCCGGAAUGAUUGGGCGUAAAGGGUGCGUAGGCGGCCUGCUAAGUCUGGAGUGAAAGGUACCGGCUCAACCGGUACAGGCUCUGGAA
rnacentral:rRNA from 1 species